UACGAAGGGGGCGAGCGUUGUUCGGAUUUACUGGGCGUAAAGGGCGCGCAGGCGGCCAUAUUUGGUCAGGCGUGAAAGCCCCGGGCUUAACCCUGGGAGGUGCGUUUGAUACGGUGUGGCUAGAGGUUCGGGAGAGGAGAGUGGAAUUCCCAGUGUAGAGGUGAAAUUCGUAGAUAUUGGGAAGAACACCGGUGGCGAAGGCGGCUCUCUGGACCCGAGACUGACGCUGAGGCGCGAAAAGCGUGGGGAGCAAACAGGG
rnacentral:rRNA from 1 species